rnacentral:lncRNA from 1 species
CCUGGGUCCUCUUUGACAGGCUGUCCCCUGAGUACUGUUCAUUGGUGAACAAAGAGUUCAGUGAAAAGAAGGCAGAAGGCCUGGGGUGAGAGAAAAUCUCCGAGGGGGACCUGAUGCAGCCUUGGGGGAAUAGAAGCUGCCUAGCUUCUUGGGGUCUGCACAAGCUAAGGCCUGGGCUCCUGGCAGACUUUCCUGCUAGCCCAGAAGACACCCACACACCCAAACCACUGGGAACGUGGCUUGCUGACCUUGGCAGGAAGAAGGGCUGAGUCGGCCUUUUGCGUAACAUAAAUACUCAGCACAGCUGCCUGCGACCUGCCCACUUCUUGUCAAAUCCAAGAAGGAAGGGACCUGCUGGCCAAACCCUUUUUUCCCACUGGACCUCAGACCCCAAGGAACUUGGAGUCUGCUCAAGUGAGUGAGUUGGGGCUCUUCGCCCUCCCAGAACUGGCUGUUGAUGGAAGAAACCCCUGCGUAGGAAGGAUGGAACUCUCCUGCUAUCAUGUGAAGCAGCAUGGACUAGCCUACAGAGGAUGAGGCCUCAUGGAGCAGACAAGCUGUCUCAGUUGAGGCCCUCAAAACCAAUCAAGCUCCAGCUGAACUGCCAGGUGACUGUAGCUGCAUGAGUGACCCCAGGCAAGAUGAGCAGAAGAGGCCCCAACUGAGCCCAACCCAAAUAGCUGACUCAUGGAAUCAUGAGCAAAUAAAAUGGUUGUUUUAAGCCACUAAGUUUUUAGAUGGUUUGUUACCCAGCAAUACAUAAUUGGUUUAUCAGAUAUCACAGCUAUUUUAUAGAUGAAGAAACUGACUCUCCAAGAAUUUGAUUGACUUGCACAUCAGGACAAGGACUGGGAUGGAAAGAGAAAGCCA